GAUGAACGCUGGCGGCGUGCCUAAUACAUGCAAGUCGAGCGGCAGCACGGUCUUCGGACUGGUGGCGAGCGGCGGACGGCUGAGUAACGCGUAGGAAUAUACCCCAAAGUGGGGGAUAACUGCCCGAAAGGGUAGCUAAUACCGCAUGUGGUCUUCGGACUAAAGCCUUCGGGCGCUUUGGGAAUAGCCUGCGUAAGAUUAGCUAGUUGGUGAGGUAAUGGCUCACCAAGGCGACGAUCUUUAGCUGGUCUGAGAGGAUGACCAGCCAGACUGGAACUGAGACACGGUCCAGACUCCUACGGGAGGCAGCAGUAGGGAAUUUUCCACAAUGGGCGAAAGCCUGAUGGAGCAACGCCGCGUGCAGGAUGAAGGCCCUCGGGUCGUAAACUGCUUUUAUGUGCGAAGAAUAUGACGGUAACACAUGAAUAAGGGUCGGCUAACUACGUGCCAGCAGCCGCGGUAAU
rnacentral:rRNA from 1 species